CGAGCUACCUGGUGACAGGAUGCGAAUCUCGAAAGCCGGUCUCAGUUCGGAUUGGAGGCUGAAACUCGCCUCCAUGAAGUUGGAUUCGCUAGUAAUCGCGCAUCAGCCAUGGCGCGGUGAAUACGUUCCCGGGCCUUGUACACACCGCCCGUCAAGCCAUGGGAGUUGGGGGUGCCUGAAGUACGUGACCGCAAGGAGCGUCCUAGGGCAAAACCGAUGACUGGGGCUAAGUCGUAACAAGGUAAC
rnacentral:rRNA from 1 species